UUUUUUUUUCUUCUUUAUUUUAAAUUGUUCAAACUGACGAGAAAGUAAGUAGCUCUGAGAGUGCAUUAUGUCAGUAGUCUCUGGAAUAGCUAGCCACAUAGCCCAUUCACAUCAACUAUCAAUAGGCUUUUGGUGGUAGGGAUACUGGUCCGCAGAGAACGGUCCAACUUCAUGUUGGCCACCAUGUGUUUGUGAGAUCUGAGCACCGAAGAAGGUGAGAUUCAAGUUCUACCAUCUGCCCUCUGAAAGUUCUCCAGUGCUCCUCACUGAGAGCUAACACUGGCAUUCAAGUCAAAAACCAAGCCUAAGAAUUAAUUGUGGUUUAUGGAAAAUUCUCUUCCUUCCAUAACAGGAAACCAAACUUUACUUCUUGUUCCUUAACCGUGGAUGAUGGCACCAUGUUCCACUUAUCAGGAGCUCUUUCAGGUAAUGAGAAAGAUCAUUUCAUGGGCAGCCUGGAUGGCUCAGCGGUUUAGCACCUCCUCCAGCCCAGGAGAGACCCUGGAGACCCAGGAUCAAGUCCCACGUCAGGCUCCUUGCAUGGAGCCUGCUUCUCCCUCUCCCUCUGCCUAUGUCUCUGUCUCUGUCUCUGUCUCUGUCUCUGUCUCUGUCUCUCUCGAAUAAAUAAAUAAAAUCUUAAAAAAAAAGAAAGAAAGAAAGAUCAUUUCAGGACAUAGGGUUUGGCUCUUUCCUAAGGUGGGGUGUGGGUUUAUCCAGAUGGCCAAUUUAAGUUAAAGUUAACCCUUUCUUCACUGACUUAUUCAGCACUAAGUGAGCAGUUACCAUGCACAGACGUUGGGGAUGCAAAGGUGAAUUGCCAUUUAGACCAGAACCUGUUUUAGAUAAAAAAGCACCCAUAUUUAUCAAAAGGAUCAACUAUGUGGUCUAUUUAAAUAACUAUUAUGUUCUGCUAGACUCUAUUUGACAAAAAUAGAGUCUGAGUAGGAGUAGUAGAUUUAGAAUCAAACCAUUCAAACUCAAGCUCUGUUCCCUCUUAGAUAUCUGACUUUGUAUCUGUUUCUUUAUAAAAUGCAACCUGAAGCUGAUGUCAGGAUUAAAGUUAGUCUGUGUAUGUCACUUAGCAAACCCAAUGCCUGACUCAGUAAACAUGGGUUACUGUUAGUAUUGUUAUUGUGGUUUUAGUAUCUUGUUUUGUUUUGUGGGUUUUUUUAAAAAAGAUUCUAUUUUUAGAAUCUCAGCAUGGGGCUCAAACUUACAACCUCAAGAUCAAGAGUUGUGUGCUCUAUCAACUGAGCAGCCAGACACCCUAAAGUUUUAGCAUCUUUAAGAAACCCUGCUGGAGGUGAGAAAGAAGGUAUGUACAUCCCCCUCACAAAGCUCCCUUCAAGAAGUAAAAUUCUCUGUUCUCAGUAAAGCAGGUGGCUUCCCCUUUUCUCCUUAUACUCAUCACCCUAUGCUGUAGGUUACUGAUUUUAGUGUUUCAGGACUUCAAUACUGGUACACCCUUUCUCAAGAAGGAUGGAAUAGGAAUUUACCUUUCCUGAGAACUUUGUGUAUGCCACGCACUGUGUUCAUAACUUUCACCAACAUUUUCUCAUUUCAUUUCCACUGUUGGGGGUUGGGGUCAAGGUAGGUAUUAUGGUCCUGCACUGCCAAGAGGAAAUGGAGACUCAGAAUGGGGAGAGGGCCCAAAGUCACAGAGCUCUUAAGUUGUAGAGCUGGCUUGCAGUCAGAUCUGUUUGAAUCCAAAUCAUACAGUACAUUCUGAAGCCUCUUUCCCAUUCUCAUUACUCAAUUAGGUCAUCGUUCGUCCUUUCUUAGGAAGGCAAAACACACAGAGAUUGAACGUAGAGACUGAACAAUCUCUAUUGAGUUGGAUUUCUGACACCCAACAUGCAUGCAUCCCCCAUAAUUUGUACCUGAGAGAAGCCCUGACCUUUAACAUAUUAAAUAAAAACAGAAGCCCUGAGGGCUUAAAUGACUAUUCUAAGCCCACACAGAAAGCAUGUGGUGUAGUGAGAACCAGAAAGGGCCUCUUCCCAGACAUGGGAGCAAUCUCCCUGGUUAAAGCCGCACUGAAAGAUCAGGGAUGGGGGGAAUCUGGCCAACAUAUUUUAGGCAUUGAGUGAUGGGAAUCCCAGGCGGCCAGUGAGUUCACUGGGCACAGCAGAGGAGAACAUAGUCUGGGUACAGUACAAACAAGAAUGCUAAACAGCUCUCCAGCUGCCAGGAAGCAAGAGCAUCAGUGUAUUCUUGAAGCAAGAAUCCAGUUCCCAGGCAAUGAAAGAACAAGGCAGUGAGGGCACAGUUGGACUUGUCAUACCAAAAUAAGAGUCUCUGAGGAGGACCCCAACCCCACUGUUUUGGUAAAGGGGCAGCACUGACAUACCAGCAACUGGAAGCUCUCACUAGCUCACCCAGAAACUUGAAAACAGAAAGUCUCUUAAGCACUUUCUUUCUAAAUUCUCCUUGCAGAAGCCUCCUUAUUCUUUUAUAAUCACCUCCAAGCAAUUCCUAGUCAAGUACUAAAGUAAAUUCAAAGCAAUUAGAGAGUCUAUCUACAGUGAGCCCAAAAUGUGUUUGCAGUGGUUCUCUGGGAAAUGGCGCAGCAUAAGUUUUCCCCAGAACAAUGUUAUUUAUGUAAGGAAGAUGCUACUGUUUCCCAGAGUGUAAAAACACACAUACACACACACACACACACACACACACAUGCACACACACACACACAUUUACUAUGACAAAUGGAUGCAACAUCUCAAGAGUGAAAUAUUGUGUUGUGGGUUACAAGCCAAAGCAAGGCAGCAUCGCUCCAGUAAGCACUUAUAAAUUGUUGCAAACAAUAUCAAGAAAUAGGAGCUUGCCUUGGCAAAUAACAGCUGCAGGAUUUCAGGGCUCAGGACUAGCCUUAGGAAAAAAAAAAGAAAGAAAACCACCAAACCCAUUGCUUCAAAUAUUCUGUUGGAUCUCCAGGGUGGUCUUUCUAAUUAAUAUUUCCCCCUAAUUGUGUUCAUGAUGGUAAGUGUGCUAAAUGCAAAACUCACUCCUUUUUUCACCAAGGAGGGGAGCAGAGGAAGGCACUUUAGGAGGAAGGCUGGGCAGCUUCAUUGUGAUGCAAAAGAAUGCAACAAUUAAGAAUAUAAUUUUGGAAGAUGUCAGCAGCCUAAUUACUCAUAGGGCUUCCAGCAAAUUAAGCAGUAGGUGAAUUAGCUCAUUUAAUGAGAUCUUAGAGUUUGGAGGCAAGGUGCUUUUAUUUUGCAUUUGAGAAACACAUUUCCUAACUACAUGUUAAUAAUUUGGGCACCCCAACAUACUAUUAACUCAACAGGUUCCACAAAAAGCAUGAAGGUCAGGUGCUUAAAAGGGUCUGUAAGUAAGUUAAAUUGCAUUUCUCUGCUCUCCGUUUACCCUUUCCCUCCCCUUCUUUUUCUUCCCAAAUGCAAUUGUCCAACUUAGAAAACAUAUAGUUCAAUAAAGGGGCUUUGGAAACUAUAGUUUUCAGGGCAGGGUUAAAGGAAGCACAGCAGAAAUUGGAUUGAAAACCUGCUUUAGUAUCUUUAUAACUCUCUAAGCCUUUGCUUCUGCAUCUGUAAUAUGGAAAUAAUAACAUCCACAUUACAAUUUUUGUGGUUACGAGUUGAAUUCGUUUACAAGAUGGUAUUCCUUGAAGGCAAGGAAUAUGUGGUAUUUAUCUCUGUCUUAUACUACCUAACACAGUGCCUGGAACAGAAUGUGUGCUUAACAAGUAUACUGAAUAGAAACUAAUAAUUGCAAAAGAAUGAGUGGAUGAGGGGGGAAAAAGUUUUUUUGGGUGUUCCUUACGUAUAUGGUUCCUUUCCCAUAGAUCCUCAAAAAAAAAAAAGAGAGAGAAAAAGGGAGAAAUUGGCUGUUUUAGCCACACUGGGACUUGCUAGGCUUUGGAAUAAGAAGGAGCCAAAGUUUCCUGGACAGUGUUGUCCACUGACCAAAUGUGGGGGAAUAUGAAAAGAGGUGUCACCAGUGUUCUUUAUGCACCAAGACAAGCACCAAGACAAAUUCUGCCUACCACUUAGAGCCUCUCAGUUACUCCAAAAGUGUGUGGACAACAUGAUUGAUCAAGCCUUGUACCACAGAUUGCAAGAAUGGCUUCCCAUCCAUCAGCAUUUUUUAUCCCAACAAUCCCAUAUGGUAGGUAUUGUUAUCCCUCCUUUUUGUAAAUGAAGACACUGAGGCUCAGAGAUUACCCAACUUGUUUGAACCGGCCCAUAUGUUGGUCAUGCAUAUUUCCAGGCGAUGCCCUUCCCACUUGAUAGUCAGUAGAGAACUUCUGAGCUAUGAUUUGUGCUCAACUUCUCUGCAGAGCUAGGAAGGGAAGGAAGACUCAGCCUCGUUGCCACCCUAUCUACUCUCUAGUCUCCCUGAUGGAGCACCAUACAUUCUCUGCUGCUUUACCUUAUCUUCUAGUAUGGAAUGGAGUCCACAGAGGUGAGAUACUCCCAUUCUAAAAGUUCCUAUUUGUGACACAGAAAAGGAGGCUUCUUGCUUUUUAAUUUCAUCAGAGUGAAGACAUCUCUUGAGGCUGACUCUAUAGCUAUGUUUUGUUCUCUUUAUGGCUCUCUACAGGGAGCUUACUACCUCAGAAGGUCUUUAGCAACAAUUAUUAUUAUUCACAUUGUAAUUACCAUUUUAUUGAAUAUUUACUACAUGCUAGGCAUUGGGUUUUAUAUGCACCAAAAAAAACCCUAUGAGAUAGUUAUUAUUACCUCUAACUCAUAAAUAAAGAUAC
rnacentral:lncRNA from 1 species